UGGCCUGGGAACGCCUCGGGAUCCCCCCGUCAGAGCUGGUCAAUGUGGCCCGGGAAAGGGAAGUCUGGGGCCCCCUGCUUGAGCUGCUCCCCCCGCGACCCGACCCCGGAUAAGCGGACGAAAAUUAGAUGAGAUGAGAUUUUAGACAACUACAAAGAUGCCUGUAGGCUAAUGGAGAAGUACCAGACGGGCUGCAACACCUCUGAUCUUCAGUCUGAGGCAGAGCAGGACUGUGGGCCGCAAUAUAAACGACAAAGGAAGGCAGUGCAUCACUUUGGGGACUCUGAGAGAUGGUGGCCAAUUGCACUGGCAGACUCCAACAUCUCCCCGAGGGCCAGGCAGCAGCAGCUGAGUCUCUUCUCGACUUGAGGAAAACUGUCUAGCACCUCACCAUGGGGCAGGACCGCAACAACCGUUGCCAAAACAACUCCCUGCAUUUAACAUGCGGAGAGUUACUCAAGGAACGGCAGUCCCUCCUCUUCUCCCUCCACCCCCGACAUCAACCCUGAGCCUGCGGCCAACAGAGGAGCCUUCUUCAAUCCCCGCCAUCGGACCAACAUGGCGAGGGGGAAGAAUGAAUGAGUCCAUUCCCUGCUCUGCGGCUGAAGUCCACAUCCUGAACCUGCUGGAGACAAUUAAACAGCAACAAGACCAGCUCGUGGCAAAGGUCAACUACCUCUGCAGCAGGAUGAACAGCACCCCGGGGCCAGACGUUGAGAUGCCUGACAGUAUUAAUCUCCCCUUGGAACACCUGGAGGCAGUGGAGGCAUUUGAGGUGUUUUUAAAAGAACCCUCAAACUACCCAGCUCGACAAAGAGUAAUUGCUUCUUUGGCCACAAUUGGAGGCCAGGAUUUGAAGAGGGUGACUUGGAACAUUCUUGGCCGGCUAUACACAGACGACGUGUCCCACCAAAUCAACUGGAAAGUUACAGCCUCCUGAGUGGUGAUUGCGGACACCUGCAUGAAGCUGUGGGUGCAGCCUAUAUAAGUGGAUCCUCCCUCCGGCUCUCUCUCUCUACUUCCUGACAGGAUCCCAGCUUUUUUUUAUGUUGUACAUCUUCCUGGUUGUAAAUAAACACCUUUUUUGCAUCAUACUCAGUAUGGUGUCCGUUUAUGUGUUGUGACCUUGAGCCGGUCGUAACAUAAUGGGGGCUCGUCCAAAGUUUAGUGUAGGUGAGUUUGACCAACGUUUUUCAUUUUGUUUGUUUGUUAGGAGGUCCAUGCUUCUGUUGCCACAUG